rnacentral:rRNA from 1 species
GGGUUGUGAGGUUAAGCGACUAAGCGUACACGGUGGAUGCCCUGGCAGUCAGAGGCGAUGAAGGACGUGCUAAUCUGCGAUAAGCGUCGGUAAGGUGAUAUGAACCGUUAUAACCGGCGAUUUCCGAAUGGGGAAACCCAGUGUGAUUCGUCACACUAUCAUUAACUGAAUCCAUAGGUUAAUGAGGCGAACCGGGGGAACUGAAACAUCUAAGUACCCCGAGGAAAAGAAAUCAACCGAGAUUCCCCCAGUAGCGGCGAGCGAACGGGGAGCAGCCCAGAGCCUGAAUCAGUGUGUGUGUUAGUGG